rnacentral:rRNA from 1 species
AACGUAGGAGCCAAGCGUUAUCCGAAUUCACUGGGCGUAAAGCGUGUGCAGGCGGUCAUGUAAGUUGGAUGUGAAAUCUCCUGGCUCAACUGGGAGAGGCCGUUCAAUACUGUAUGACUAGAGGGCAACAGAGGGAAGUGGAAUUCCGGGAGUAGUGGUGAAAUGCGUAGAUAUCCGGAGGAACACCAGUGGCGAAAGCGGCUUCCUGGGUUGCAUCUGACGCUCAGACACGAAAGCUAGGGGAGCGAACGGG